UACAACAACCUCCAUUGGACUGUGGACUCGCACAUAGAAGGAGGGCUGUCAUGUCCUCCUGCGCAGACGGGCUUUCGCCUCCAAGUGGCCACAUUUCAACCUUGUGAUGAGGAGGGACGCUGGCGCACUUGUGACGAUGGCCGCCGGCGAGGUGGACGUUUUUGCGAAUGAAGAAAAACGAACCCUGGAGCUCGGGGGCCAUGUGGGCUUUGAUAGUUUCCCAGAUCAGUUGGUCAGCAAAUACGUUGCACAGGGCUUCAGUUUCAACAUCCUCUGCGUAGGGGAGACGGGGAUAGGCAAGUCCACCUUAAUGAACGCACUUUUCAACACGAGGUUUGAAAGCGAAGAAGCCAGCCAUUAUGAGGAAGAAGUGCUUCUACGACCACAGACAUAUGAUCUGCAGGAGAGCAACGUUAACCUCAAGCUGACCGUCGUGCACACAGUCGGCUUCGGCGACCAGAUCAACAAAGAAGAAAGCUAUAAACCCAUACUGGACUACAUCGAUGCUCAGUUUGCAACAUACCUGGAAGAAGAGCUCAAAAUCAAACGUUCCCUGUGCAAUUUCCAUGACACGAGAAUCCACAUCUGCCUAUAUUUCAUCGCUCCCAACGGCCACUCCCUCAAGUCCCUGGAUCUGGUCACCAUGAAGAAGCUGGACAGCAAGGUGAACGUCAUCCCCGUCAUUGCGAAGGCGGACACUGUAUCCAGGAGCGAGCUGGACAAGUUCAAGAUCAAAAUCAUGAGCGAGCUGGUCAGCAACGGGGUGCAGAUAUACCAGUUCCCCACGGAGGAUGAGGCUGUGGCUGAGAUUAACUCUUCCAUGAACACGCACCUCCCCUUUGCUGUGGUGGGCAGUGUGGAAGAAGUCAAAGUAGGCAAUAAGAUGGUCAAAGCAAGGCUGUACCCCUGGGGAACAGUACAAGUGGAGAACGAGAACCAUUGUGACUUUGUGAAGCUGAGGGAGAUGCUGCUGCGUGUCAACAUGGAGGAUCUCCGUGAGCAAACGCACACGCGCCACUAUGAGCUCUACCGCCGCUGCAAGCUGGAGGAGAUGGGCUUCAAGGACGCAGACCCUAACAGUCAGUCGUUCAGCUUGCAGGAGACGUAUGAAGCAAAGAGGAGGGAGUUCAUUAGAGAUCUACAAAUCAAGGAAGAAGAAAUGAGGCAGAUGUUUGUCAACAAAGUGAAGGAGACCGAAGCAGAGCUGAAAGAAAAGGAAAAAGAGCUCCACGAGAGGUUUGAGCAGCUCAAACGGCUGCACCAGGAAGAAAAGAAGAACCUGGAAGAGAAAAAACGCGAGCUGGAGGAGGAGAUGAAUGCCUUCAACAGGAGGAGGGUGGCUGCAGAGACACUGAUGGGUCAGGCUCUCCAAGGCGGCGCUCAGCCCCUCAAGAAGGACAAGGACAAGAAAAAUUGAUGUAUGGAAAAGUCCCCCAGGGAAACCCAAGAAUGUGGCUGUCAUCAGCAUGGCUUCUUUAGUCUUCCCUCUGCGUGCUCCUUAACCUCGUCAAGGAAUUUGAACUAGAGGACUUUCUACUAACUACACGGAAAGCUCGCAGACUGACUUGCGAGCUCGUUGUUUUUUUUGCCAAUUGAAAUUAGCACUUUUCCAGAAAAUGCACUUCCAUCCCUGGGAUUGCAUCGCCAAGAGUCUUCCUCCGUGUGUUCUGCUCUCUCAAAGCUUUUCAGCAGCGCUUUGUAGCAUGGAACGUGCAUGUCAUAGUCAGUAUAACCAUCUCUCUUAGCCUUCAGAUAAAUGUGCCCAUCUUUAAGCUCCAAUGUACUUUUGACUAAAGACACUGUGAAAUGAUGUAUAUUAAAUACCAUGAAGUCACAUUGAAUCAUUAAGGUUAUUUUUGAAUAAUUGUUAUUCUAUAUACAGAGAUUAUAAUAGGCUUUGAUUAGCAUAUCAGUACCUUUUCACAGUGGUUCUCAAACCUUUUUUCAGUGAUGUACCCCAUACUUGCCAACCCUCCCGAAUUUUCCGGGAGACUCCCGAAAUUCAGCGCCUCUCCCGAAAACCUCCCGGGGCAAAUAUUCUCCCGAAAAUCUCCCGAUUUUCAGCCGGAGCUGGAAGCCACGCCCCCUCCAGCUCCAUGCGGACCUGAGUGAGGACAGCCUUUUUUCAUGACGGGAAGACAACAGGGUGACAAGAACUAAAUCAUCCAGAUUCGAGAUAAAUUGUAUUAUUAUUUUACCUAAAAAUAAAUAUAUUAAUUAAAAAAAAAAUAAAAAAAUACAUUUUUACUAUAUUUUGCUAAAAACAUCAAAAUUAAUUGUAUUUUUAUUUGUAUUUUUUCGUGACUCCUUAUUACAUCCAGACAUAGAAUUAUACAUUAAAACAAACAUAUUUGAAAUAAUUGAUUUUAAAUGAUCAUAAUAAUUCAUUUAAAAUGACCAUAUUUAAUUAUUAAAAUAAUUUCUUGUUUAUCAACAACUUUAGCAUUUUAUUUAUUACAUUUUAAAACUCUCAGAAGCCAAGUUAUGUUAUAUUCCUUAAUAUUUAUUU